UACGUAGGUGGCAAGCGUUGUCCGGAAUUAUUGGGCGUAAAGCGCGCGCAGGCGGUCCUUUAAGUCUGAUGUGAAAGCCCACGGCUCAACCGUGGAGGGUCAUUGGAAACUGGGGGACUUGAGUGCAGGAGAGAAGAGUGGAAUUCCACGUGUAGCGGUGAAAUGCGUAGAGAUGUGGAGGAACACCAGUGGCGAAGGCGGCUCUCUGGGCCCUACCUGACGCUGAGACGCGAAAGCGUGGGGAGCGAACCGG
rnacentral:rRNA from 1 species